AAGAAUCAUGUUCAGGAUUCGAUCCGUCAUGCUGUUAGGUGGAGUGUCAGAACAUCUGGAUGCAGUAUCUUGCCUCUGUCCAGAGUACCUGUGGAAACCAUGGUUGCCUUGGCCACCAUGGAGUCACCAGGAUACAGAAUGUAGGAGCUGUCAGAAGACAUGAGACCACUCGGCUGAUCAGUGGUCAAGGUGGGAGCAUAUAAGGGACUUCCUGCUUCCAGUCCUGCUGGAAGGCAUCCCCCAGAGACAGCGGGUCAUGUCCCGCUCUUGAGCAGAAAAGGUCACACUUCCUGUUCUCUGAAGUGGCAAACAGAUCUAUGGUAGGCAGCAUCCACUUUGAAAAGAGUGGUAUGGUGUACUCCAUUUUGAUCUCCCACUUGUGUUGCUGCUGUUGAGGGAAAAUCCAACUCAAAUCUUCUGCCAGGAUGUUGUCUAGGCCUUUUAUGUGAAUGGCUGAUGGAUGCACUUGAUGCCGGAUAAACCAAUGCCAUAACUGAAGGCUGAGAGCACAUAGACUGUGAGAUACAGUGCUGCCCUGGCGGUUGAUGUAGGCCAGGGCUGUAGUAUUUGUCCAACUGUAUCUACACCACUUUUCCCUGUAGAAGUGGAAGAAAGGCCUUCAUUGCCUGGAAGACAGCUAGAAGUUCCAGGAAGUUGAUGUAGAGUUGCCUUUGUUGAAAAGUCCACUUGCCCUGAAUUUGAUGGGUCCCACAGUGGGCCCCCCAGCCUAGGAGGGAAGCGUCUGUUGUAAGCCAGAUAGAGGGAGGUGUCCUCAGAAAAGGAACCCCUUCCAGUAGAUUCCUUCCCAGCGACCAACAGGAUGUCAUCAGACCCAACAGUCUCUGAAUGAAUCAAGCACGCUGGGAUGAAUGCUGUUGGACAUGGAGCACCAAGUCCUUGAUGCAAAGGAAACGUUCUUGAGAUUUGUGGAGUGGAGCCAUGUAUGUUGAUGUAAGGAUAUUGCUGCUGUCAAUGAACAGGACUGAUUCAGCCAAAUGCUUGGCCACACUAAACUGUUGUCUGAUAAACUCAUAAGAAGAACUAGUCUGAUGAGAAGCGACAGCCCGAAGACUGCAUGUAAUGGCGGUCAGAAAAGAACUAAAGAACAUGGCACCCAAUCCGCCUUUAAAUAAACACGCUGAUGGCAUGUAGGCGGGGCUUGGUCACCUCGACAAGCUGCAGCAUGUUACCAAGUGGGUCUUGCGCAGGCGCAUUACCCAUUCUUAUGGAUUUCAACAGAUCUCAACCCAGAUUUCCUUGUUAACUGUGCCCUACUGUGAGUUGAAAGCACCUCUGCACAACUUAUGAUCCAUCAAGUUGAAUGCAAUCCACCAGCUUGCCUGUGCCUUCCAAAAAAACCCUGGUUUUUGCUGUCCCAGAGAGCAAAAUCAGAAUCUUUACUGAGCUCCUGGUAGAUCAUUAUAAAUGGCUGGUGAACAAUACUUGCCUGAGGAAAGGGGUAUCCAACUGUGACGCUCCAGCUGUUUUUGGCCCACAACUCUCACCAUCCCCAGUCACAGUAGCCAGCAGCCAGGGACAAUGGGAGUUGUAGGCCAAAAACAGCUGGAGGGCUGCAAUAGGACACCGCUGCCUGGGCGGGGUGGGGUCACAAGUUGUGCAGGUCUGCAUAGACAUAGAUGCCAAUUCCUUGUAACUGUUAGUCGUACCUGUUUUCUUACAUGUGCAUGGGAAGCAUCCUACAUUCAUUUUAUUAGACUUUGGAAUCGUACCUGAAGACCAAGGAAUUCAUCAAUUGUAGACUCUUGUAUUGUAGGGCCACUGUCUGCUUGCUUUGCAGUCUGAGAAAUAUUGCCAUCACUGGAAAACAAUGUUAUGAAUAUUUAGUAUAGAUUUCAAAAAUAAUCUAGGAGAUUUGGAACAGAAAGUUUCAAGUGAGAUCUGUUACCUGCCCAAGAAUUUGUUAAUAUUUUCAGCUAGCUUCUCCUGAAGACAUUUGUUGCUCAGAAUUUUCUCUCUGGCAUUUUCAAUAAUCAU